GACGAACGCUGGCGGCGUGCUUAACACAUGCAAGUCGAACGGAAAGGCCCUGCUUUUGUGGGGUGCUCGAGUGGCGAACGGGUGAGUAACACGUGAGUAACCUGCCCUUGACUUUGGGAUAACUUCAGGAAACUGGGGCUAAUACCGGAUAGGAGCUCCUGCUGCAUGGUGGGGGUUGGAAAGUUUCGGCGGUUGGGGAUGGACUCGCGGCUUAUCAGCUUGUUGGUGGGGUAGUGGCUUACCAAGGCUUUGACGGGUAGCCGGCCUGAGAGGGUGACCGGCCACAUUGGGACUGAGAUACGGCCCAGACUCAUACGGGAGGCAGCAGUGGGGAAUAUUGCACAAUGGGCGGAAGCCUGAUGCAGCAACGCCGCGUGCGGGAUGACGGCCUUCGGGUUGUAAACCGCUUUCGCCUGUGACGAAGCGGGAGUGACGGUAAUGGGUAAAGAAGCACCGGCUAACUACGUG
rnacentral:rRNA from 1 species